GCGGGCGUAGUUUAAUGGUAGAACAGGAGCUUCCCAAGCUUCUAGCGUGGGUUCGAUUCCCAUCGCCCGCU
rnacentral:tRNA from 1 species